UAGGGAAUCUUCCACAAUGGACGCAAGUCUGAUGGAGCAACGCCGCGUGAGUGAAGAAGGUUUUCGGAUCGUAAAGCUCUGUUGUUGGUGAAGAAGGAUAGAGGCAGUAACUGGUCUUUAUUUGACGGUAAUCAACCAGAAAGUCACGGCUAACUACGUGCCAGCAGCCGCGGUAAUACGUAGGUGGCAAGCGUUGUCCGGAUUUAUUGGGCGUAAAGCGAGCGCAGGCGGAAUGAUAAGUCUGAUGUGAAAGCCCACGGCUCAACCGUGGAACUGCAUCGGAAACUGUCAUUCUUGAGUGCAGAAGAGGAGAGUGGAAUUCCAUGUGUAGCGGAGGAAUGCGUAGAUAUAUGGAAGAACACCAGUGGCGAAGGCGGCUCUCUGGUCUGCAACUGACGCUGAUGCUCGAAAGCAUGGGUAGCGAACAGG
rnacentral:rRNA from 1 species